rnacentral:lncRNA from 1 species
CGAUUCCCACAUCUGAUCAUCAGCCAUGGGAACAUCUGUGACCUCUGACCUCAAACACACACACACACUAACAAAGGCACAGACAUGUCAGUAGCUAAACCCCACUGACACACAGCGCCCCCUAGUGAACACGAGUCUUCUUCCUCUUACGUUUUACACUGAAAGUCUCUACGUCCUCAUGGACGUCUGGAAACACUGAGCCUCCAAACGCUGCACUACACAUGUGAGUUUCCCACACACACUCAUUUUGGCAGGAGCCCCGUUCUCCCCCCCCACACACACACACACACACACAGAUGUCUCAGCUCCAUCCUCCAGACCUUCAGUCGUCUCUUCUUUGUUCAGCUGUGAUGAUCUUCAUAAGGAUCCUGCUGUGUGUGUCUGUGCUGCUGAACACUGCCUGGCCUUCUCAGUCUGACAAUGACAUCAUAGCCUUGGACGAUGACUACAACAUCACCUACGGCUUUUACAGUAACACUAGCAGUGAAGAACUGGAUCGAUUCCUCCAGGAAAAAGGUGAUGAUGAUGAUAAUGAAGAGGAGGAGGCGGUUACCGUGACAAUAUUCACUGCAGCUCCAGAGGAGGGCGGGGCAAAUGUUGGAAACAUAGCCUCACUUCCUGUCAGUCAGGAAACGUGGACGCUGCUGUGGACUGUGAUCAUCCUGAGUUCAACAUAGAUACACGUCUAUAGAUAGAUAAAUAUAGACCUGUAUCUAAGAUAUAUAUAUAAGAGAGUACGUUUCCAUUGAGCACCAAUCUGACUCCACAGAUUAAUCUUUUUUGCUGCCAUUCUCACAGAUCACCAACAAACAUCAAUGGAGGCCAAAUUCUGUGAUGAUUCUCUGAACCAAUCAGUGUCUGUGUUGAUACGUCACAUGUUCAGUCCUGAGGUUUAUUCCAUAAAGUAGGUUAUGUUCAAACUCUGAGUAUCUCAUUCCUAAACAUGAGGUACAGUAUGUUUAUCUCUGAGUAUGUUACCAUGGUAACAUUGUCCAUGAACUAAACCUGGUCACUGACAGGUUUUAUCAAAGAAACCCUGGGUUUCUACCUGGCUCCGCCCACCUGAACACUUUAAUGAACCUUAACACUUUUCUCUGAAACACAUUAGUGACAUCACACACCACAGACGUGUUCACA